GGAAAACUCCAGGCGGGGCUGGCCCCAGGCCCUGAAACAAUGUUAUGGGGCA
rfam:Heterocephalus glaber contig220975, whole genome shotgun sequence.